CCGGCGGCAGCGCGCGUGCGUCGGAGCUGGUGGCCCAGCUGCACCUUGAGGGCAACGUUCGGCGGCCGGCUCUUGUCGGCGGGGACGAGGUCCUGAGCCUCGAUGACCUGGACGCGGAGGUAGACGAGCUUGGGCGAGAAGUAGACCUUGGAGCGGGUGUUCGCGAGGGCGUCCUGCCCGCUGGCGGAGUGGGCGUCGGAAUGCCAGGCGUCAGGGAAGGCUUCGUCGGCCUGCGUACCGAUC
rnacentral:lncRNA from 1 species